GAAACGUAGAUCGACGCUAUUGCCUUUAAAUUGACAAAAUUAAAUGUCUUACACCAUUUAGUAUUAGUCAAAAAUCAUUUGACCAAGCACGAUUCCAACAUAAUACAGCUACAAACUGUCCAAAUUUUGGUACACUGGCAUAUUUUGGUAUGUGUUAUCUGAAAUAUUCCGGGAACUUAAGGUCGAUGAAAACUUGAUUGCAUAAUUUCUAAAUUUACUAUAAGGUGUUUAGUUAUUCUUUGAAUUUUGUGAUUAAUUAAAGAGUUUAAAUACUAUUUAUAAAAUUGUGUAGAAACUAUUGCCAGAAACUGUUUGAUUUUGUUAGUCUCUUGUAAAAGGAUAAUAUCUCUCAAACCAUUAGGAAUUUUUGAGUGAAUCUUGUUUCAUUGUAAAAUAGACUUCAUGGGGUAUUUAUUUUUAGCCUCUAAAUCCUUUUGAAUGGAUGUAGAACAUUAAUGUGAAAUCAGUCCAGUGCAAUUGUUAUAUAAGAAGUUAAUUGAUGAAUCAAUGAAUUACUAUACAUCUGGGAUAUUAAAUAAGGUUAAAGGAAGGAGCUUAGCUCAUAGUAGUAUUCUCUUUCUAUAAAUUAAUGUGGAUUGCAUGUGAUUAGUAAGUAAAGCGAGAGGUUUCUCGGCGAUAGCCGAAAUGGAAUAGAAAGGGACCGGAGUGACUGGAACAUUAAGAUGGAAAAAGGGCUUAUGCUCAUAAGCCUAUCAGGUUAGUCGGCAUUGGGGAGUAUCGGUCGAUGUUUAUUCAAGUCUGCGUCAGUGCUGCAUCCUCGUCGGGUCACUGAACGUUAUCUGUGGUAUAGAGUGGUGGCAUGUUUAGAAAUCAGAUUAUGAUAUUCUAAAAUCAGUUGCGUUUAGUUUAAUGUUGAUAAAUUAAUUUUCGAGGAAAUAUAAACUUAUAUGCUUUUCUAUGUAAGUAAUGGUCUCAAUUUGUUACGAUAAUGAAAUUUUAAAUUGCCAUAA